rnacentral:rRNA from 1 species
UGGGGAAUCUUGGACAAUGGGCGCAAGCCUGAUCCAGCCAUGCCGCGUGGAUGAUGAAGGCCUUAGGGUUGUAAAAUCCUUUCGUGGGGGACGAUAAUGACGGUACCCCAAGAAGAAGCUCCGGCUAACUUCGUGCCAGCAGCCGCGGUAAUACGAAGGGGGCUAGCGUUGUUCGGAUUUACUGGGCGUAAAGCGCGUGUAGGCGGGUCGUUAAGUUGGGGGUGAAAUCCCGAGGCUCAACCUCGGAACUGCCUUCAAAACUGGCGACCUGGACUCAAGCAGAGGCAAGUGGAAUUGCGAGUGUAGAGGUGAAAUUCGUAGAUAUUGGGAAGAACACCAGUGGCGAAGGCGGCUAACUGGUCCGGUACUGACGCUGAGGUGCGAAAGCGUGGGGAGCAAACAGGAUUAGAUACCCCCGUAGUCCCUGAGCGGGCUGGCAAGGCGCAU